AUCAGUAAUGAGGUGUGGCCCUGCCUAAGUGUGAGUGUGGCAGUUGUGCAGUCUUACCUUUAAGCAGGAGAGGAGAGCGCAGAUUUCUUUUAAGUUAUCCCAAUCCAAAAAGGUGGGAUGAUUUUAUUUGAAGAAAAUGGUCCACACUUUUACAGGGUUUUUACCUUUUCUCGUUACAAUGUGACAAUCAUACAAAUAUAUCAUGCUGUGGUCCUUUUCUAAUAUAAAACCUCAAUUCACAGUUUUACAUUUCUUACAUUAAAUCCUAAAUUCAACUGGCUCACUUCAGUUGUGACAUUACAUUCUAACUUCAACUGGCCCAUUUCAGUUGUGUCUGUAAGGAUUUGCAGUACUCCCUCCUUCUGCUUCCCUUUUUGUUUGUUGUCUGUUGUUGUCAGUUUGUCUCCCGGGCUGGGCUUGGCUGACCUACUUCUGAUUCCCGCCAAUUCAUCUCCGCAGCUGCUUCUCAUUCAUCCUGAUCAUCUACUCAUCCACACCUGUUUAUUAACCCGGUCUCCUCAUCCAGUCUUCACCAGUUCGUCGUCAAGAUUACACUGAAUCCAUCAUCACCUCCUCCGCUUGCCACGUCCAGCCACUUCCUCGUCGGAUUCAUCCGCUCUCCACGCUACCUGAUCCAGCCUGCUCGCUCCCCUCGGCUCUGAAACCCCUGCUCGCCACACUCCAGUCUGGUAGGACAAACACAACUCCUACUCCAACCAACUCACUCUCGGGAGCGUAAAGACUCAGGCUCUAGCCACCUUUCGUCUGCCUGGCGAUAUCCCCAGCUCACUCCGGAGCCUCGGCUGAGGAUCUCCAUUCCCUCGCUGAUUUAUUCCCUUUCCUGGAAUAUAUCAACACAGUUAGUUUCCCCUGUCACCAUUGGAAAUAAAACCUUUUGCUGCAAA